GAUGAACGCUGGCGGCGUGCCUAAUACAUGCAAGUCGAGCGAACGGACGAGAAGCUUGCUUUUCUGAUGUUAGCGGCGGACGGGUGAGUAACACGUGGAUAACCUACCUAUAAGACUGGGAUAACUUCGGGAAACCGGAGCUAAUACCGGAUAAUAUUUUGAACCGCAUGGUUCAAAAGUGAAAGACGGUCUUGCUGUCACUUAUAGAUGGAUCCGCGCUGCAUUAGCUAGUUGGUAAGGUAACGGCUUGCCAAGGCAACGAUGCAUAGCCGACCUGAGAGGGUGGUCGGCCACACUGGAACUGAGACACGGUCCAGACUCCUACGGGAGGCAGCAGUAGGGAAUCUUCCGCAAUUGGCGAAAGCCUGACGGAGCAACGGCGCGUGAGUGAUGAAGGUCUUCGGAUCGUAAAACUCUGUUAUGAGGGAAGAACAUAUGUGAAAGUAACUGUGCACAUCUAGACGGUACCUAAUCAGAAAGCCACGGCUAACUACGUG
rnacentral:rRNA from 1 species